GGGACAUGGUCAGACGGACUCUGUUCCAUGUGAGGCUUCUCACUGAUUACAUUUAACAGAACUGUUUUAAUGAAGACGGGUGAGCAUCUGUCGCUCCAUAAACGAUCUUUGCAGUGCGACGUAAUGUCGUCAGACCUUCGAACAGACUCAACGUACAGUACAUAGGCCCGUAUCUCAGGAGAGCAAUGGUCAAUCCGGGUGAUUGACACGUCUAUAGAACCGUCAGCGCCUCCCACGGACACCAUUCGCUAUCUGUGAGGGGGCGAACCCACUGUGAGGCCUUUUUUCCCCACCGCCAUUUGACAUGCGACUUCCGCAUGUGUGGUCGAAGUAGGACGGACCAGGCGGAUUAAUAUCUUGAAGUGACAAGCGGUCUUUGUGCUACGUUAACGAAAGCGGAUUCAUGGAUCAACACAUAACAUUUCCUGCAAAUACUUCGACGGCCCCACAUUUCAGGGGGAGAGGAGGAGGAAGAGGAGGGUGACAACUGAGGGCGAGGAAGAGGAUGUAGGAACCAGAAAGACACGAGUUAAGGAGGAGAAAGAUGAAUCAGAGGAGGGAGGGAAGACAUAGAGAAGUAGAGGAAAAGCAAGUAAAGAAGAAGAGAAAAGGUAACAGCCGCUGAAAAGAGCACAGAGUCGACGCAGCGGCCGGGUGAAUUUGAUGAUGAGGACGUCAUACAUCACUGGAGCGGAUCCAAAGACCAAACUUUCAACCCUUUGAAGGGGAGAAAAGGCGUCGGUAUCGAUUGGCCCUCUGAAACAUGCAGCCCGGGCAGCGAGACCCCCGCCCGCAUUGUGAACGCACCUCCCACCUCUAUCGCACCGGCAGAUCGAUAUCUCCCAGCUCAGAGUUGGCCAGGAGUGAAUCUGGUAGUGGAGCGCUUGAGGAGGAAGACAAGGAAAGAGGAGGAGGAGGGGAGGGUGAGGAAGGUUUCCACCAGCUCUGCUGAGGAAGGAAUAGUGAUGAGUGGAAUGACUGAGAGUGUCUGACAGGCUGAUAUAUAUAUAUAUAUAUAAAAAAAUCCGACAUGAUUAAAAAAACAGCUGGAAAGUUUUGGACUCUUGGGGGAAACGGUUGGAUCAUUGAAAUCACUUGUCAAGAAUAUAGAUUUUUCAUUCAAUUAAUUAAAGGAGACGUAUUCUGCUCAUAUUCAGGUUUAUAGUUUUAAUUUGGGUCUUUACUUGAUAGUUGGGUAGUUUCCUCGGACCGUCACAUUCCUGCAGCUCCUCGUUCCAGCCUCUUUCUGAAACACUUACAUGAAGGAGAAAAAAAACGGUCUAACACGCUAGAGGAAAGGGGAACAUUAAAUUGUCUCCUUUAAAUAAUGAAAAUCAAUGAAUAUCAAAUAAAAUGAAUAGCGGUUCAUCAUCCAUAAAAACACACAGACGAUAGAAAGUUUUCAGUUGUUAAACGGAGAAUGAGGCAGCAGCUUUCAGACAUUUAUAAAACACCGUGUUGACGACCAGACCCCAUAAAUGGAAUAGCUCUGUUUUCCCAGUCCCAGACUAAAGAUAAAGCCGGAACAGCAUUUUCAAAUGAAUACGCUAUGAAGAGGUAGAAGAAGACAAAAGAGAGGGAACUGUUGGCUUAGAUUGCUCGGAACAAUAGGAGAGGGAAAAAAAAGUGUCUGCACAUUUUUCCAGACAGGAAAACUUUUUCAAGCUGACAAAUACUGAUUGGACUGUUGUCGACCAAAAGAAAAGACGGGACUUUUAUGUUUCGUGUCGAUCUGGAAGAAUAUGAUCUUAUAAUCAAGGCUGCUGAAGCAUAACCAAAUAUUCAAUAAAGUAAAGCAGCCAUGAAAUGUUUUGUUGUGGGCCUCGUUGCCCUUAUAAUCAGUUUAAUGAACUUUUUUUCAUAAUUUAAAGGCAGUCCGUCGGGUUUCCUUCAUACCUAGUGCUUCUCACCCAAAAUACAUUCUGUGUAACAUUAAGGGCCCGUUACAAAUGCGUUGAAUGUGACUAUUGUCCCAUAUUUAGUUGGAAAACAAAUACGUUAUCUGGGAACAUUUUACUGAUGGGUUCAGUAUCCGCGCAUAUUUCUGAUUAGCUUAAAAGGAAACAUUAUCCAGUCAUAAUUAUGUUCCCUUCAAAAGGCAUUUGUUGUUAAUUGAAUAUAAAUGUAAUUUCUAUAAGCGUUGUUGGAAACCUGUAUUUGCAUCCAUAUUUACUUACAUCACAUCCAUUUUGCGAACUUUCUUGGUGUGUUGCUGCCACCGACUGUCAGUGAUUGUGUAUUACACCGCGCGGGUGCUCGUUUUCAUGCAGCUACAUCAUCGAGAAUGAGCGUAGAACACACACAGAACUUGUUUGUGAAAUGUAAACGUUGCUCUAUUGUGAUGCCAGUGUUCAAAAAAAACAACACCAGGUAUAACAUUAAGAAAUAUUUGAUAAGAAAAAAGGUUCUCAUACCCACGCGUUUAGAAGUUGGCGUGUGUCUUUAGAAGCCUCAGAAGCUGCACAAAGAACCACAAACUGCGUUAAAAAUGAAUAAACGUGGUGGUGUUGCGUGGACAAGGGUGACCUAACACAAAAGCAAAACUUUCCAAGUAGGUUCAAAUCGAUAGAAAAGGAGAACUGACGGGAAAGAAAGCUUGAAUUUCAAAUGUUGACUCAUGCCACUUUGCUCAUAUUUACAGUGAACUACACUUGAUGUCCUAUAAUUGUUUUGUGUGUAUUUAUUACAUAGACAUCUAGAAUAAUAGUUAACAUAUAAUAUAUAUAUAUAUAUAAAACUUUGUGCAUGGACUGCAAACACGGCGCAGUCAGUGUUUCAAAGAAAAC
rnacentral:lncRNA from 1 species